rnacentral:RNase_P_RNA from 1 species
UACGUCAACAAGACGGCUGCCCUUUUACAGGGAGGAAAGUCCGAACACUCUCCGCAAAAAGCGGAGCAAAGGAGAGUUGCUAACGGCAACCAGGAGUAAGAGUGUUCAAAAAGUCCUCGCGAGUUUUUGAACAUUCCAAGCCUCGGGAAAGUGUCCUGUGCUGCAAAAUGCGGUACGGGAUUUAAAGAAUAAAGGCGACUUUAUUCUUUAAGCAACAGAAAAUAUACCGCCCAUCUUCGCUCGCUUUUAGCGCGCGGAGGUGAGUAAGGGUGAAAUCGUGGCUUAAGAGACCACGCGAGCCCGCAGUGAUGCGGCUUGUGGCAAACCCUCUUUAGUGCAAGGCCAAGUAGGUCCCGUACCGGAAGCGAAAGCGAUUGGUACUGGGACGGGUUGGCUGCUAGAAUCCCGCAGUAAUGCGGGGUCAAGAGAGAUAGCCGUCUCCCAUUUUUCAAAAAAUGGCAGACAGAAUUCGGCUUAUAAGUUGGCGUGGGCA